rnacentral:lncRNA from 1 species
ACCAAAGGCACACCAGCGGACGAAGCAUAUUCUGCGCCGCUACCAUCUCAUCCGGGAGAUCGUGGAUUGAGGUGACGUCGACCUUCAAAAGAUCGACGGGAAGGAGAACCUGGCCGACCCAUUCACUAAAGCCAUUGCGGUGAAGGAGUUCAACGACUACAAGUCGAAGAUGGGUAUUAGAAACUGCACUGAUAGGCUUUAGGCCAAGUGAGAGAUUGUUGGGAAUAGUGUUCCAAAGCCAAUCGUCAGCCUAUUGACGGUUGUGCUCCUUUUUAUAUUAGUACAUGAAUUAUAAAUAAAUAAAAGUUAUUUUGGUAUUUUUUUAUCACAAAUGUUUCAUCUUCUAAUGAACUCCUGUGUUGUGGUGAAGUCCUUAGGACUAUUUAGACUCGACAAAGGAGGAUUUGUCGCUUAGUCCUCAAAUAUGUUCGCGACCAAAUGAUACGUUGUUACCAAAGACGACAACGUUUAUCGAGCAUAGGUCAUUGUGUGCCAUAUGGGUUGGUUGUCCUCAUAACCAAAGAGUGUGGAGACACUGGUAUGGCAUACAGGUGAGAUGUAAUGGUACAUCUGCACUGAACGUGACCAACUCCGGAGCUAUUUCUGCUGUCAAGAUUUGCUCCGAUGGGAUAUGGGUAUAAAUGUCCCUCCGACCUGAGACCGCCACGGUGACUUGCAAGCAACUCACUGUACUUAGGUACUGGACUAUCUGAAUUUCUAAUUCAGUGACGGAAGGUUGCUGGGUGUAGUCAAGUACUUGACUUGUCGGUGCGUGUGUCAAGAUGGGAUUGACCACUCCAGUUUAGGAGCUGUGUACAGUCGUGUUUUAAUUUAGCAAAACCUUGACCAGGGUAGUCCUAGUGAGGAGUCACAGGACUAAUUGAGUUGAGCAUGAUUCGGAUGAUAUCAUCAGGGUUGACAAUUUAACCCUGAGUCAUCCUAAACACAGGGGUCAAAAGGGAUGAAUUAUAUGGUAACCAUAUUCACGUAGGUUCUGAAUAUUACGAUUGCGAUUAUUCGACCUAUCCGGUC